rnacentral:rRNA from 1 species
GCAAGUCGAGGGGUAACAGGAGGUGCUUGCACUUCGCUGACGACCGGCGCACGGGUGCGUAACGCGUAUACAAUUUGCCUUGUACAGGAGAAUAGCCUUUAGAAAUGAAGAUUAAUACUCCAUAGUCUAUUAGAAUCGCCUGAUUUUAAUAGUAAAGAUUUAUCGGUACAAGAUGAGUAUGCGUUCUAUUAGCUAGAUGGUAAGGUAACGGCUUACCAUGGCAACGAUAGAUAGGGGUCCUGAGAGGGAGAUC